AGUGAACUUAAGCCCCAGGAAACGGCGGCCGUAACUAUAACGGGCCUAAGGUAGCGAAAUUCCUUGUCGGGUAAGUUCCGACCCGCACGAAAGGCGUAACGAUUUGGGCAAUGUCUCAACAACAGACUCGGUGAAAUUGUAAUGCCGGUGAAGAUGCCGGAUACCUGCGACAGGACGGAAAGACCCCAUGGAGCUUUACUGUAGCUUGACAUUGGGUCUUGGUACUACAUGUACAGGAUAGGUGGGAGGCUUUGAAACCAGGACGCCAGUUUUGGCGGAGCCAUCCUUGGGAUACCACCCUUGUAGUACUGGGACUCUAACCAUAUGCCAUGAAUCUGGUCUUGGGACACUGUCAGGUGGGCAGUUUGACUGGGGCGGUCGCCUCCCAAAAGG
rnacentral:rRNA from 1 species